AUACGGAGGGGGCUAGCGUUGUUCGGAAUUACUGGGCGUAAAGCGCGCGUAGGCGGGCUGGUCAGUCAGGGGUGAAAUCCCGGGGCUCAACCCCGGAACUGCCUUUGAUACUGCCAGUCUAGAGGUCGAGAGAGGUGAGUGGAAUUCCUAGUGUAGAGGUGAAAUUCGUAGAUAUUAGGAAGAACACCAGUGGCGAAGGCGGCUCACUGGCUCGAUACUGACGCUGAGGUGCGAAAGCGUGGGGAGCAAACAGGAUUAGAUACCCUUGUAGUCC
rnacentral:rRNA from 1 species